rnacentral:rRNA from 1 species
GACGAACGCUGGCGGCGUGCUUAACACAUGCAAGUCGAACGGUGAAGCGCUUGCCUUUUUGGUGGGUGUGGAUGAGUGGCGAACGGGUGAGUAACACGUGAGUAACCUGCCCUCUUCUUCUGGAUAACCUCAUGAAAGUGGGGCUAAUACGGGGUAUUCCGGGUCUGUCGCAUGGCGGGUUUGGGAAAGAUUGCGCCUUUGGGUGUUUUCGGUGGGGGAUGGGCUCGCGGCCUAUCAGCUUGUUGGUGGGGUGAUGGCCUACCAAGGCGGUGACGGGUAGCCGGCCUGAGAGGGUGGACGGCCAGACUGGGACUGAGACACGGCCCAGACUCCGGCGGGAGGCAGCAGUGGGGAAUAUUGCACAAUGGGCGCAAGCCUGAUGCAGCGACGCCGCGUGAGGGAUGGAGGCCUUCGGGUUGUGAACCUCUUUCGCCAGUGAAGCAGGCCUGCUCCUGUGUGGGUGGGUUGACGGUAGCUGGAUAAGAAGCGCCGGCUAACUACGUG